rnacentral:rRNA from 1 species
GGUUAAGCGACUAAGCGUACACGGUGGAUGCCCUGGCAGUCAGAGGCGAUGAAGGACGUGCUAAUCUGCGAUAAGCGUCGGUAAGGUGAUAUGAACCGUUAUAACCGGCGAUUUCCGAAUGGGGAAACCCAGUGUGUUUCGACACACUAUCAUUAACUGAAUCCAUAGGUUAAUGAGGCGAACCGGGGGAACUGAAACAUCUAAGUACCCCGAGGAAAAGAAAUCAACCGAGAUUCCCCCAGUAGCGGCGAGCGAACGGGGAGGAGCCCAGAGCCUGAAUCAGUGUGUGUGUUAGUGGAAGCGUCUGGAAAGGCGCGCGAUACAGGGUGACAGCCCCGUACACAAAAAUACACAUAUUGUGAGCUCGAUGAGUAGGGCGGGACACGUGGUAUCCUGUCUGAAUAUGGGGGGACCAUCCUCCAAGGCUAAAUACUCCUGACUGACCGAUAGUGAACCAGUACCGUGAGGGAAAGGCGAAAAGAACCCCGGCGAGGGAGUGAAAAAGAACCUGAAACCGUGUACGUACAAGCAGUGGGAGCACGCUUAGGCGUGUGACUGCGUACCUUUGUAUAAUGGGUCAGCGACUUAUAUUCUGUAGCAAGGUUAACCGAAUAGGGGAGCCGAAGGGAAACCGAGUCUUAACUGGGCGUUAAGUUGCAGGGUAUAGACCCGAAACCCGGUGAUCAAGCCAUGGGCAGGUUGAAGGUUGGGUAACACUAACUGGAGGACCGAACCGACUAAUGUUGAAAAAAUUAGCGGAUGACUUGUGGCUGGGGGUGAAAGGCCAAUCAAACCGGGAGAUAGCUGGUUCUCCCCGAAAGCUAUUUAGGUAGCGCCUCGUGAAUUCAUCUCCGGGGUAGAGCACUGUUUCGGCAAGGGGGUCAUCCCGACUUACCGACCCGAUGCAAACUGCGAAUACCGGAGAAUGUUAUCACGGGAGACACACGGCGGGUGCUAACGUCCGUCGUGAAGAGGGAAACAACCCAGACCGCCAGCUAAGGUCCCAAAGUCAUGGUUAAGUGGGAAACGAUGUGGGAAGGCCCAGACAGCCGGAUGUUGGCUUAGAAGCAGCCAUCAUUUAAAGAAAGCGUAAUAGCUCACUGGUCGAGUCGGCCUGCGCGGAAGAUGUAACGGGGCUAAACCAUGCACCGAAGCUGCGGCAGCGACGCUUAUGCGUUGUUGGGUAGGGGAGCGUUCUGUAAGCCUGCGAAGGUGUGCUGUGAGGCAUGCUGGAGGUAUCAGAAGUGCGAAUGCUGACAUAAGUAACGAUAAAGCGGGUGAAAAGCCCGCUCGCCGGAAGACCAAGGGUUCCUGUCCAACGUUAAUCGGGGCAGGGUGAGUCGACCCCUAAGGCGAGGCCGAAAGGCGUAGUCGAUGGGAAACAGGUUAAUAUUCCUGUACUUGGUGUUACUGCGAAGGGGGACGGAGAAGGCUAUGUUGGCCGGGCGACGGUUGUCCCGGUUUAAGCGUGUAGGCUGGUUUUCCGAGCAAAUCCGGAAAAUCAAGGCUGAGGCGUGAUGACGAGGCACUACGGUGCUGAAGCAACAAAUGCCCUGCUUCCGUGAAAAGCCUCUAAGCAUCAGGUAACAUCAAAUCGUACCCCAAACCGACACAGGUGGUCAGGUAGAGAAUACCAAGGCGCUUGAGAGAACUCGGGUGAAGGAACUAGGCAAAAUGGUGCCGUAACUUCGGGAGAAGGCACGCUGAUAUGUAGGUGAAGUCCCUUGCGGAUGGAGCUGAAAUCAGUCGAAGAUACCAGCUGGCUGCAACUGUUUAUUAAAAACACAGCACUGUGCAAACACGAAAGUGGACGUAUACGGUGUGACGCCUGCCCGGUGCCGGAAGGUUAAUUGAUGGGGUCAGCGCAAGCGAAGCUCUUGAUCGAAGCCCCGGUAAACGGCGGCCGUAACUAUAACGGUCCUAAGGUAGCGAAAUUCCUUGUCGGGUAAGUUCCGACCUGCACGAAUGGCGUAAUGAUGGCCAGGCUUUAAUGUUUGAUGUUCUAACGUGGACCCGUGAUCCGGGUUGCGGACAGUGUCUGGUGGGUAGUUUGACUGGGGCGGUCUCCUCCUAAAGAGUAACGGAGGAGCACGAAGGUUGGCUAAUCCUCGGUCGGACAUCAGGAGGUUAGUGCAAUGGCAUAAGCCAGCUUGACUGCGAGCGUGACGGCGCGAGCAGGUGCGAAAGCAGGUCAUAGUGAUCCGGUGGUUCUGAAUGGAAGGGCCAUCGCUCAACGGAUAAAAGGUACUCCGGGGAUAACAGGCUGAUACCGCCCAAGAGUUCAUAUCGACGGCGGUGUUUGGCACCUCGAUGUCGGCUCAUCACAUCCUGGGGCUGAAGUAGGUCCCAAGGGUAUGGCUGUUCGCCAUUUAAAGUGGUACGCGAGCUGGGUUUAGAACGUCGUGAGACAGUUCGGUCCCUAUCUGCCGUGGGCGCUGGAGAACUGAGGGGGCUGCUCCUAGUACGAGAGGACCGGAGUGGACGCAUCACUGGUGUUCGGGUUGUCAUGCCAAUGGCACUGCCCGGUAGCUAAAUGCGGAAGAGAUAAGUGCUGAAAGCAUCUAAGCACGAAACUUGCCCCGAGAUGAGUUCUCCCUGACCCUUUAAGGGUCCUGAAGGAACGUUGAAGACGACGACGUUGAUAGGCCGGGUGUGUAAGCGCAGCGAUGCGUUGAGCUAACCGGUACUAAUGAACCGUGAGGCUUAACCUU